rnacentral:sRNA from 1 species
GCUUAGUUUAUUUUAUUAAAUAAAGCGGGGGAACCAUUAUUUUGGGGCGUAUUUCCACUAGGAAUAGGAUACUUUUCAAUCCGAGCCCGUCAGCUAACCUCGUCAGCGUUGAAAAGAG